UUGCAUGUGGAAAGAUCUGCCUCUCGUUUCUUUGAGGGCAGGAGUGUAUCCAUAACAUGCUACAUUAAUCAAAGGAGUUCUCAGGGCUGCCAACCUUACAGUAGAGGUUGAGUAGUAGUAUAUUUCUCCUACAUUA
ensembl:snoRNA